UACGGAGGGGGCUAGCGUUGCUCGGAAUCACUGGGCGUAAAGCGCACGUAGGCGGAUCUUUAAGUCAGGGGUGAAAUCCCAAGGCUCAACCUUGGAACUGCCUUUGAUACUGGGGAUCUCGAGUCCGGGAGAGGUGAGUGGAACUGCGAGUGUAGAGGUGAAAUUCGUAGAUAUUCGCAAGAACACCAGUGGCGAAGGCGGCUCACUGGCCCGAUACUGACGCUGAGGUGCGAAAGCGUGGGGAGCAAACAGG
rnacentral:rRNA from 1 species